AAACCUACAUCGGUCAUUUUAUUUUUAUUUGUGUAGCCCAACAAAAGUCUCUUCAACCAGGAAAGAAAAAAUUCAAAUAAGGGCCUGGUAAUAAAAUCAAAUCAAUUUAUUAGCAUUUAAUAAAAAUUUCAAUUGUAAACAAGCCUGGGCUCCGAGGUCUCGUUACAGUACCUGAUUAUAUUUUAAAAAAAACAACGUAAUAACCGCUCAAACAGCUUUCCAUAGCUGCUUGCUUUCUGCUCCAGAAUGUGCAUGAUUUCAAAAUAG